GACGAACGCUGGCGGCGUGCUUAACACAUGCAAGUCGAACGGAAAGGCCCUGCUUGCAGGGUCCUCGAGUGGCGAACGGUUGAGUAAUACGUGGGUGAUCUGCCCUGCACUUCGGGAUAAGCCUGGGAAACUGGGUCUAAUACCGGACAGGAGCCUUUUUUCGUGUGAUGGUUGGAAAGUUUUUUCGGUGUAGCAUGAGCUCGCGGCCUAUCAGCUUGUUGGUGGGGUAAUGGCCUACCAAGGCGGCGGCGGGUAGCCGGCGUGAGAGGGUGGCCGGCCACAUCGACACUGGGACUCAGCCACGACUCAGACGGGUGGGAGAAGCAGGAAAGGUUGCACAUGGGGAGUAAGCCUGAUGCUGCGACGGCGCGGGGGGGAUAACGGCGUACGGGUUGGAGUCGUAUUGCGCUAUGGACGGAGCUGUUUGUGACGGUACCUAGAGAAGAAGCACCGGCUAACUACGUG
rnacentral:rRNA from 1 species